rnacentral:rRNA from 2 species
UCAGGACGAACGCUGGCGGCGUGCUUAACACAUGCAAGUCGAACGAUGAAGCCUUUCGGGGUGGAUUAGUGGCGAACGGGUGAGUAACACGUGGGCAAUCUGCCCUUCACUCUGGGACAAGCCCUGGAAACGGGGUCUAAUACCGGAUAACACUCCUGCCUGCAUGGGCGGGGGUUAAAAGCUCCGGCGGUGAAGGAUGAGCCCGCGGCCUAUCAGCUUGUUGGUGGGGUAAUGGCCUACCAAGGCGACGACGGGUAGCCGGCCUGAGAGGGCGACCGGCCACACUGGGACUGAGACACGGCCCAGACUCCUACGGGAGGCAGCAGUGGGGAAUAUUGCACAAUGGGCGAAAGCCUGAUGCAGCGACGCCGCGUGAGGGAUGACGGCCUUCGGGUUGUAAACCUCUUUCAGCAGGGAAGAAGCGAGAGUGACGGUACCUGCAGAAGAAGCGCCGGCUAACUACGUGCCAGCAGCCGCGGUAAUACGUAGGGCGCAAGCGUUGUCCGGAAUUAUUGGGCGUAAAGAGCUCGUAGGCGGCUUGUCACGUCGGAUGUGAAAGCCCGGGGCUUAACCCCGGGUC